rnacentral:rRNA from 1 species
UGAGGAAUAUUGGUCAAUGGGCGGAAGCCUGAACCAGCCAUGCCGCGUGCAGGAAGACGGCCCUAUGGGUUGUAAACUGCUUUUGUACGGGAAUAAUAAGGGUUACGUGUAAUCCGAUGAAGGUACUGUAUGAAUAAGCAUCGGCUAACUCCGUGCCAGCAGCCGCGGUAAUACGGAGGAUGCAGGCGUUAUCCGGAUUUAUUAGGUUUAAAGGGUGCGUAGGUGGCCAGGUAAGUCAGUGGUGAAAGUUUGCAGCUUAACUGUAAAAUUGCCAUUGAUACUGUUUGGCUUGGAUUUGGUAGAAGUAGGCGGAAUGUGUAGUGUAGCGGUGAAAUGCUUAGAUAUUACACAGAACACCGAUUGCGAAGGCAGCUUACUAUGCCACGAUCGACACUGAGGCACGAAAGCGUGGGGAUCGAACA